UUAAUAUUUUGGCAAACUUGUCAAAAGGCAAGGACGCAAAGCUUUAGGGCCUAAGGAUAUAUAUUAUUAUAUAUCUAUGGUUGCCAGUUGCAAUU
rnacentral:ncRNA from 1 species